rnacentral:rRNA from 1 species
AUUGAACGCUGGCGGCAUGCCUUACACAUGCAAGUCGAACGGUAACGGGCCUUCGGGUGCCGACGAGUGGCGAACGGGUGAGUAAUACAUCGGAACGUGCCCGAUCGUGGGGGAUAACGAGGCGAAAGCCUUGCUAAUACCGCAUACGAUCUACGGAUGAAAGCAGGGGACCGCAAGGCCUUGCGCGGACGGAGCGGCCGAUGGCAGAUUAGGUAGUUGGUGGGAUAAAAGCUUACCAAGCCGACGAUCUGUAGCUGGUCUGAGAGGAUGAUCAGCCACACUGGGACUGAGACACGGCCCAGACUCCUACGGGAGGCAGCAGUGGGGAAUUUUGGACAAUGGGCGCAAGCCUGAUCCAGCCAUGCCGCGUGCAGGAUGAAGGCCUUCGGGUUGUAAACUGCUUUUGUACGGAACGAAAAGCCUUCUUUUAAUACAGGAGGGUCAUGACGGUACCGUAAGAAUAAGCACCGGCUAACUACGUG